AAUUCACUUAUAAAAUUUGCCUAGAUUUGAGCCGUCCCGGUCAAACUGAACUUAAGGGCAAAAGAAGGGGAGAUAGUGUAGUGGAUCCUAUGGGCAGGACUAGUGCAAAAAUUGCAAAAUGGGACAUCUAAAUCCCAAAACAGAAAAAAGAGUCUAGAAAAAGAAAAAAAAAAAAAAAGAAGAAGAAAGAAUAAAGGGAAGAAUGUGCUUAAGCCCGCAAGAAUAGGCAAGGAUCAAAAGAAUCUGGGAAGUCUGUUGCCCAGAGUGAAGUUCAGAAUGACCUUAGCCUCGUACCAAAAAUUCUCACCUUAUGCCUUAAGCCACAUUACAACCCAUGAAAGACCUAAUGAGAUGCACCUAGGACUUUGACUAAAGGGGAAGACAAUAGAAGAU
rnacentral:lncRNA from 1 species